rnacentral:tRNA from 1 species
GAUCAUGUAGUUCAGUCAGGUAUAGAAUACCCUGUUAACACCAGGAAGGUCGGUGGUUCAAAUCCAUCCAGGAUCA